UACGUAGGGUGCAAGCGUUGUCCGGAAUUAUUGGGCGUAAAGAGCGUGUAGGCGGCCCGAUUAGUCCGCUGUGAAAGUCCAGGGCUCAACCCUGGAAUGCCGGUGGAUACUGUCGGGCUAGAGUCCGGAAGGGGCGAGUGGAAUUCCUGGUGUAGCGGUGAAAUGCGUAGAUAUCUGAAGGAACACCAGUGGCGAAAGCGGCUUCCUGGUCCAGCACCGACGUUCAGGCACGAAAGCGUGGGGAGCAAACAGG
rnacentral:rRNA from 1 species